rnacentral:lncRNA from 1 species
CCACGGCCAUUCAAGACACUAUCGGCUGGUCUGCCUGCUGCUCAAGCCAAGCCGCUCCUUAGCAGUUCCAAGGCACUCUCAAUCGCUCACGAUCUCUCCCAUACCCUCACUAAGACAUGCUAAGAUGCAUAGCUAUGUGCUCUAAUCUCUACAGCCAUCAGCACUCUUUAAAGGGCCAAAAUCCUCUCCAGAUUAGAAUCACAGCCCUGAUCGAAGUCUAGAAACCCAACCGCCAUCUGAUCACAUCCGUGAGCUCUCCUAGCUAUUGGAUUGCACAAGACUCCUCCCUGGACUGCACGUGAACCCCCUACCAAG